GACGAACGCUGGCGGCGUGCCUAAUACAUGCAAGUUGAGCGCUGAAGGUUGGUACUUGUACCAACUGGAUGAGCAGCGAACGGGUGAGUAACGCGUGGGGAAUCUGCCUUUGAGCGGGGGACAACAUUUGGAAACGAAUGCUAAUACCGCAUAAAAACUUUAAACACAAGUUUUAAGUUUGAAAGAUGCAAUUGCAUCACUCAAAGAUGAUCCCGCGUUGUAUUAGCUAGUUGGUGAGGUAAAGGCUCACCAAGGCGAUGAUACAUAGCCGACCUGAGAGGGUGAUCGGCCACAUUGGGACUGAGACACGGCCCAAACUCCUACGGGAGGCAGCAGUAGGGAAUCUUCGGCAAUGGACGAAAGUCUGACCGAGCAACGCCGCGUGAGUGAAGAAGGUUUUCGGAUCGUAAAACUCUGCUGGUAGAGAAGAACGUUGGUGAGAGUGGAAAGCUCAUCAAGUGACGGUAACUACCCAGAAAGGGACGGCUAACUACGUG
rnacentral:rRNA from 1 species